UACAGAGGAGCCAAGCGUUGUCCGGAUUGACUGGGCGUAAAGGGCGCGUAGGCGGUUUGUACAGUCAGACGUGAAAUUCCUGGGCUCAACCUGGGGGCUGCGUUUGAUACGUGCAGACUUGAGUUCGGAAGAGGGUCGUGGAAUUCCCAGUGUAGAGGUGAAAUUCGUAGAUAUUGGGAAGAACACCGGUGGCGAAGGCGGCGACCUGGUCCGAUACUGACGCUGAGGCGCGAAAGCGUGGGGAGCGAACGGG
rnacentral:rRNA from 1 species